rnacentral:rRNA from 1 species
ACGGCUCAGUAACACGUGGCCAACCUGCCCUUAGGACAAGUAUAACCCCGGGAAACUGGGGAUAAUCCUUGAUAGGUGAGGAAUUCUGGAAUGAGUCUUUGCUUAAAGGAUGUGCAGAUCACGCUUCUGUGCGUUGCCUAAGGAUGGGGCCGCGGCCGAUCAGGUUGUUGGUGAGGUAACGGCUCACCAAGCCUAUAACCGGUACGGGCCGUGAAAGCGGAAGCCCGGAGAUGGGCACUGAGACAAGGGCCCAGGCCCUACGGGGCGCAGCAGUCGCGAAAACUCCGCAAUACGCGAAAGCGUGACGGGGCUAUCCCGAGUGCUAUUCGAUGAGAGUAGCUUUUCCUCAGUGUAAAGUGCUGGGGGAAUAAGGAGGGGGCAAGACUGGUGUCAGCCGCCGCGGUAAUACCAGCUCUCCGAGUGAUAGGGACGUUUAUUGGGCCUAAAGCAUCCGUAGCUUGCUGAGUCUGUCCUCCGUUAAAUCCAACGAUUUAAUCGUUGGGCUGCGGGGGAUACUGCUUAGCUAGGAGGCGGGAGAGGCCGACGGUAUUUCCGGGGUAGGGGUGAAAUCCUAUAAUCCCGGGACGACCACCAGUGGCGAAGGCUGUCGGCUAGAACGCGCUCGACGGUGAGGGAUGAAAGCUGGGGGAGCAAACCGGAUUAGAUACCCGGGUAGUCCCAGCUGUAAACGAUGCAGGCUAGGUGUUGGUGUGGCUACGAGCCGCUCCAGUGCCGCAGGGAAGCCGUUAAGCCUGCCGCCUGGGAAGUACGGCCGCCAGGGUGAAACUUAAAGGAAUUGGCGGAGGAGCACCACAAGGGUGAAGCUUGCGGUUUAAUUGGAGUCAACGCCGGA